UGGAAGAGACAAAGUUGCCCUGACAAGGCCGGAAGCUGAAGCUUCCAACUCGUUUUUGGAGUUCUGCGAUGUGAACUUUCCCCCAGGAGAGGAACUCGCAAAGAAGAGAGCCCUCUGUACUUUGUGGACUUGCACCAUGACUUAGAUGAUUGCUGGAAGGUCUGAUGCAACCAGUCAAGUCUGCUGUUGUAACCUGGAAGGACCCACAGACCUACGUAAAUGAAUGGGCAUGGCUAGUUUCUAAUAAAACUUUAUUUACAAAUACACCCAGUGGGCUGGAUCUGGUCCAUGGGCCAGAUCAUUCUGGUUUCAUUCUUCAGAGCCUCCGCGUGUAUUCGCUAAGCCAGCCUUCACAGCUGUCUUUCCCACCAGGUUCAGUUUGAAGAGCUGAGCUCUAUCUUCGCACAACCUCUGUUUUGUCAGGAGAGAGAGAGAGAGAGA